rnacentral:rRNA from 1 species
AGUGGCGGACGGGUGAGUAACGCGUGAGGAACCUGCCUUGGANAGGGGGACAACAGCUGGAAACGGCUGCUAAUACCGCAUGAUGCGUGAGGGAGACAUCUCCCACACGCCNNAGAUUUAUCGCUCUGANAUGGCCUCGCGUCUGAUUAGCUUGUUGGCGGGGUAACGGCCCACCAAGGCGACGAUCAGUAGCCGGACUGAGAGGUUGAACGGCCACAUUGGGACUGANAUACNGCCCAGACUCCUACGGGAGGCAGCAGUGGGGAAUAUUGGGCAAUGGGCGCNAGCCUGACCCAGCAACGCCGCGUGAAGGAAGAAGGCUUUCGGGUUGUAAACUUCUUUUAAGAGGGAAGAGCANAAGACGGUACCUCUAGAAUAAGCCACGGCUAACUACGUGCCAGCAGCCGCGGUAAUACGUANGUGGCAAGCGUUGUCCGGAUUUACUGGGUGUAAAGGGCGUGCAGCCGGGAGUGCNAGUCAGAUGUGAAAUCUAUGGGCUUAACCCAUAAACUGCAUUUGAAACUGUACUUCUUGAGUACCGGAGGGGCAAUCGGAAUUCCUAGUGUAGCGGUGAAAUGCGUA